UCUUCUUCUCCAAGCAAAGGUUCCUAAAAAUCCGGUCCUUAGCAUCUUCUUCGGUGGUGUGGCGUGAAAAUAGGGAUGAGAACCUUGGUCUCCAAGCUAUGGCGGUUGCGAGAAGUUUAAUUCUUCCUUCUUAAGUUAGCGGUUGAUACAAGGAAGGAGAAGAUAUUUUCAGUAACGCAGAGUCCAACCUUUUUUUGGCGUUGUCUUAGAAUUGGUGGUCGCGCCUUAGCUUUUAAUCGCCUGUUUGUGUUUUACUUGCUUUGGGCUUAUCAUCCUUUUUACUCUAAUUGGGCUUAUUGGAUAUUUUCUUAAGCCCAUUGCCCAGUCCACAGCCCCCCAAGCACGAAAUCCAAAGGAAUGAAGUGCUUGAGUAUGAUUUGAAUUUUCCCUCUAAAAUUUGUAGCGCGGGAACAGUUUCAUCACGUUUCUCCC
rnacentral:lncRNA from 1 species